AAAAGUAAGUAAGGGCACAUGGCGGAUGCCUUGGCUCUCGGAGGCGAUGAAGGACGUGAUAAGCUGCGAUAAGCUGCGGGUAGGUGCAAAUGACCUUUGAUCCGCGGAUUUCCGAAUGGGACAACCCGGUACUUUGAAGAAGUAUCAUCCUGCAUUGCAGGAGGCUAACGCAGGGAACUGAAACAUCUUAGUACCUGCAGGAAAAGAAAAUAAACAAUGAUUCCCCCAGUAGUGGCGAGCGAACGGGGAAUAGCCCAAACCACCCAUGUUACGGCAUGGGUGGGGUUGUAGGACCACGCCGUGGCAAGAAAGUUGGUGAGCAGAAUGUUCUGGAAAGUACAGCCAUAGAGCAUGAGAGCUGCGUAUGCGAAGCCAAGCGAAGCCUAGUGGUAUCCUGAGUAGCGCGGAGCACGAGGAAUUCUGCGUGAAUCUGCCGGGACCAUCCGGUAAGGCUAAAUACUCCCGAGAGACCGAUAGUGAACCAGUACUGUGAAGGAAAGGUGAAAAGCACUUCGAACAGAAGAGUGAAAUAGUUCCUGAAACCAUGUGCCUACAAGCGGUCGGAGCACCUUUUGGUGUGACGGCGUGCCUUUUGCAUAAUGAACCUACGAGUUACUUUUUCCGGCGAGGUUAAGGAUUUCAGAUCUGCAGCCGAAGCGAAAGCGAGUCUGAACAGGGCGUAUAGUCGGAAGGAGUAGACGCGAAACCAAGUGAUCUACCCUUGGGCAGGUUGAAGGAUGGGUAACACCAUCUGGAGGACCGAACCAAUAAGCGUUGAAAAGCUUCUGGAUGACCUGAGGGUGGGGGUGAAAGGCUAAUCAAACUUGGAGAUAGCUCGUACUCCCCGAAAUGCAUUUAGGUGCAGCCUUGACUUAUACUGGCAUGAGGUAGAGCGACUGAUAAGAUGCGAGGGCUUCACCGCCUAUCAAGUCUUGACAAACUCCGAAUGCGUGUCAGUUCUAUGUCAGGAGUGAGGGCAUGGGUGCUAAGGUCCAUGUCCUAAAGGAGAACAAUCCGGACCAACAGCUAAGGUCCCGAAAUGAAUACUAAGUUGAACUAACGAAGUCAGAUUGCUAAGACAGCUAGGAUGUUGGCUUGGAAGCAGCCAUUCAUUUAAAGAGUGCGUAACAGCUCACUAGUCGAGGAGUUUGGCGUGGAUAAUAAUCGGGCAUAAGUAUUCUACCGAAGCUUUGGGAUGAGAAAUCAUCGGUAGGGGAGCAUUCCACUCUGCGUCGAAGGUGAGGCGCGAGCCUUGCUGGAGCGUGUGGAAAAGCAAAUGUAGGUAUAAGUAACGAUAAAGGGGGUGGGAAACCCCCUCGCCGAAAGACUAAGGUUUCCUGAUCAACGCUAAUCGGAUCAGGGUAAGUCGGGUCCUAAGGCUCAGCCGAACGGCGAGGCCGAUGGCAGAACCGGUUAAUAUUCCGGUACUACCUGUGGGAGUGACGUGGAGACGGAGUCGUGACAGCGCCGCGGACUGACGGAAUAGUCCGUUGAAGGGUGUAGAUGCUGAUUGUUCCAGGCAAAUCCGGAGCAAGAGUCGAACCUGACAGUAUGGAGCGUUCUUAGAACAAUCCAAUAGUGCGUGUAAUCAUACUUCCAAGAAAAUCCGCUAAACUUAAUCCUGCAGGUACCCGUACCGCAAACGGACACACGUAGUCGGGUUGAAUAUACUAAGGCGCUUGAGUGAUUCACGGUUAAGGAACUAGGCAAACUGACCCUGUAACUUCGGGAUAAAGGGUCCUCGCUUAACGGCGAGGCGCAGAGAAUAGGUCCAGGCAACUGUUUAACAAAAACACAGGGCUGUGCAAAAUUGAAAGAUGAAGUAUACAGCCUGACACCUGCCCGGUGCUGGAAGGUUAAGAGGAGAUGUCAUCGCAAGAGAAGCAUUGAAUUGAAGCCCCAGUAAACGGCGGCCGUAACUAUAACGGUCCUAAGGUAGCGAAAUUCCUUGUCGGGUAAGUUCCGACCUGCACGAAUGGUGUAAUGAUCUGGACGCUGUCUCAACCGUGAGCUCAGUGAAAUUGUAGUAUCGGUGAAGAUGCCGAUUACCCGCGAUGGGACGAAAAGACCCCGUGAACCUUUACUAUAGCUU
rnacentral:rRNA from 1 species